rnacentral:rRNA from 1 species
CCUACGGGGGGCAGCAGUAGGGAAUCUUCCACAAUGGGCGCAAGCCUGAUGGAGCAACACCGCGUGAGUGAAGAAGGGUUUCGGCUCGUAAAGCUCUGUUGUUGGAGAAGAACGUGCGUGAGAGUAACUGUUCACGCAGUGACGGUAUCCAACCAGAAAGUCACGGCUAACUACGUGCCAGCAGCCGCGGUAAUACGUAGGUGGCAAGCGUUAUCCGGAUUUAUUGGGCGUAAAGCGAGCGCAGGCGGUUGCUUAGGUCUGAUGUGAAAGCCUUCGGCUUAACCGAAGAAGUGCAUCGGAAAUCGGGCAACUUGAGAGCAGAAGAGGACAGUGGAACUCAAUGUGUAGCGGUGGAAUGCGUAGAUAUAUGGAAGAACACCAGUGGCGAAGGCGGCUGUCUGGUCUGCAACUGACGCUGAGGCUCGAAAGCAUGGGUAGCGAACAGGAUUAGAUACCCCAGUAGUC